AUUGAACGCUGGCGGCAUGCCUUACACAUGCAAGUCGAACGGUAACGGGCCUUCGGGUGCCGACGAGAGGCGAACGGGUGAGUAAUACAUCGGAACGUGCCCGAUCGUGGGGGAUAACGAGGCGAAAGCUUUGCUAAUACCGCAUACGAUCUACGGAUGAAAGCAGGGGACCGCAAGGCCUUGCGCGGACGGAGCGGCCGAUGGCAGAUUAGGUAGUUGGUGGGAUAAAAGCUUACCAAGCCGACGAUCUGUAGCUGGUCUGAGAGGAUGAUCAGCCACACUGGGACUGAGACACGGCCCAGACUCCUACGGGAGGCAGCAGUGGGGAAUUUUGGACAAUGGGCGCAAGCCUGAUCCAGCCAUGCCGCGUGCAGGAUGAAGGCCUUCGGGUUGUAAACUGCUUUUGUACGGAACGAAAAGCCUUCUUUUAAUACAGGAGGGUCAUGACGGUACCGUAAGAAUAAGCACCGGCUAACUACGUG
rnacentral:rRNA from 1 species